GACGAACGCUGGCGGCGUGCCUAAUACAUGCAAGUCGAACGAGAGCAACCGGUGCUUGCACUGGUCAAUCUAGUGGCGAACGGGUGGGUAACACGUGGGUAACCUGCCCAUCAGAGGGGGAUAACAUCCGGAAACGGAUGCUAAAACCGCAUAGGUCUUCGAACCGCAUGGUUUGAAGAGGAAAAGAGGCGCAAGCUUCUGCUGAUGGAUGGACCCGCGGUGCAUUAGCUAGUUGGUGAGGUAACGGCUCACCAAGGCCGUGAUGCAUAGCCGACCUGAGAGGGUGAUCGGCCACAUUGGGACUGAGACACGGCCCAAACUCCUACGGGAGGCAGCAGUAGGGAAUCUUCCGCAAUGGACGCAAGUCUGACGGAGCAACGCCGCGUGAGUGAAGAAGGUUUUCGGAUCGUAAAACUCUGUUGUUAGAGAAGAACAAGUGCUAGAGUAACUGUUAGCGCCUUGACGGUAUCUAACCAGAAAGCCACGGCUAACUACGUG
rnacentral:rRNA from 1 species